UACGUAGGGUGCAAGCGUUAAUCGGAAUUACUGGGCGUAAAGCGUGCGCAGGCGGUUUGUAAGUCUGUCGUGAAAGCCCCGGGCUCAACCUGGGAAUGGCGAUGGAGACUGCAAGGCUAGAGUGUGUCAGAGGGGGGUAGAAUUCCACGUGUAGCAGUGAAAUGCGUAGAGAUGUGGAGGAACACCGAUGGCGAAGGCAGCCCCCUGGGAUAACACUGACGCUCAUGCACGAAAGCGUGGGGAGCAAACAGGAUUACGAAACC
rnacentral:rRNA from 1 species